ACUCAAAUGAAUUGACGGGGACCCGCACAAGCAGUGGAGUAUGUGGUUUAAUUCGAAGCAACGCGAAGAACCUUACCAGGUCUUGACAUCUGAAUGCAAACUCUAGAGAUAGAGUCCUUCUUCGGAACAUUCAAGACAGGUGGUGCAUGGUUGUCGUCAGCUCGUGUCGUGAGAUGUUGGGUUAAGUCCCGCAACGAGCGCAACCCUUGAUCUUAGUUGCCAGCACUUCGGGUGGGCACUCUAGGAUGACUGCCGGUGACAAACCGGAGGAAGGUGGGGAUGACGUCAAAUCAUCAUGCCCCUUAUGACCUGGGCUACACACGUACUACAAUGGUCGAUACAACGGGAAGCGAAGCCGCGAGGUGGAGCCAAUCCUAUCAAAGUCGAUCUCAGUUCGGAUUGCAGGCUGCAACUCGCCUGCAUGAAGUCGGAAUUGCUAGUAAUCGCGGAUCAGCAUGCCGCGGUGAAUACGUUCCCGGGUCUUGUACACACCGCCCGU
rnacentral:rRNA from 1 species